UAUUGCACAAUGGGGGAAACCCUGAUGCAGCGACGCCGCGUGAGUGAAGAAGCGUUUCGGCGCGUAAAGCUCUAUCAGCAGGGAAGAAGAAAUGGCGGUACCUGAGUAAGAAGCCCCGGCUAACUACGUGCCAGCAGCCGCGGUAAUACGUAGGGGGCAAGCGUUAUCCGGAUUUACUGGGUGUAAAGGGAGCGUAGACGGCUGUGCAAGUCUGAAGUGAAAGCCCGUGGCUCAACCGCGGAACUGCUUUGGAAACUGUAUAGCUUGAGUACUGGAGAGGCAGGCGGAAUUCCUAGUGUAGCGGUGAAAUGCGUAGAUAUUAGGAGGAACACCAGUGGCGAAGGCGGCCUGCUGGACAGAAACUGACGUUGAGGCUCGAAAGCGUGGGGAGCAAACAGG
rnacentral:rRNA from 1 species